rnacentral:rRNA from 1 species
UACGUAGGGGGCAAGCGUUAUCCGGAUUUACUGGGUGUAAAGGGAGCGUAGACGGCGAUGCAAGUCUGAAGUGAAAGGCGGGGGCCCAACCCCCGGACUGCUUUGGAAACUGUAUGGCUGGAGUGCAGGAGAGGUAAGUGGAAUUCCUGGUGUAGCGGUGAAAUGCGUAGAUAUUAGGAGGAACACCAGUGGCGAAGGCGGCUUACUGGACUGUAACUGACGUUGAGGCUCGAAAGCGUGGGUAUCGAACAGG